UACGGGGGGAGCAAGCGUUGUUCGGAUUUACUGGGCGUAAAGGGCGCGUAGGCGGUCAGCACAAGUCAGUUGUGAAAUCUCCGGGCUUAACUCGGAAAGGUCAACUGAUACUGUGCGACUAGAGUGCAGAAGGGGCAACUGGAAUUCUCGGUGCAGCGGUGAAAUGCGUAGAUAUCGAGAGGAACACCUGCGGCGAAGGCGGGUUGCUGGGCUGACACUGACGCUGAUGCGCGAAAGCCAGGGGAGCGAACGGG
rnacentral:rRNA from 1 species